UACGUAGGGUGCGAGCGUUACUCGGAAUUACUGGGCGUAAGGCGUGCGUAGGUGGUGAGUUAAGUCUGUCGUGAAAGCCCCCGGGCUCAACCUGGGAAUGGCGAUGGAUACUGCAGGGCUAGAGUCCGGAAGAGGCGAGUGGAAUUCCUGGUGUAGCGGUGAAAUGCGCAGAUAUCAGGAGGAACACCGAUGGCGAAGGCAGCUCGCUGGGACGGUACUGACGCUGAGGCGCGAAAGCGUGGGGAGCAAACAGG
rnacentral:rRNA from 1 species